GGAGGAAAGCAGGGGAUCGCAAGACCUUGCACUUUUGGAGCGGCCGAUGUCUGAUUAGCUAGUUGGUGGGGUAAAGGCCUACCAAGGCGACGAUCAGUAGUUGGUCUGAGAGGACGACCAGCCACACUGGGACUGAGACACGGCCCAGACUCCUACGGGAGGCAGCAGUGGGAAUUUUGGACAAUGGGCGCAAGCCUGAUCCAGCAAUGCCGCGUGAGUGAAGAAGGCCUUCGGGUUGUAAAGCUCUUUCAGUCGAGAAGAAAAGGCUGUGGUAAAUAAUCGCAGCUCAUGACGGUAUCGACAGAAGAAGCACCGGCUAACUACGUGCCAGCAGCCGCGGUAAUACGUAGGGUGCAAGCGUUAAUCGGAAUUACUGGGCGUAAAGGGUGCGCAGGCGGUUUUGUAAGUCAGAUGUGAAAUCCCCGGGCUUAACCUGGGAAUUGCGUUUGAAACUACAAGGCUAG
rnacentral:rRNA from 1 species